UUCCGGUCGGCUUCCCGGAAGCAGGCUGCCGACCUGCCAAGCCGGAGGUUUCCGCCCCUGAUGGUUAGUUAGCCCUGCUCCACCAGGGCUGAUCCCCGAGGGAAGACCUCACAGCUUUGUCGCCAUCCCUUAACCCCGGGGCAGGGGUGGUGAGAUGACAAAACCGAGAAACCUAGUCCAUCCGUCGGUAAGGGAAGACAAACUGAAUACAUCCCCGUUAUGGAAUACCCCAUGAAAAGAACAAGGUAGAUGUACGGAAACAUCGAGGGGAAACUGUUGCCACAGACUACAAAUUCCUGCAUUUGUGCAUCUAUGCAUAGUGCGAAGGAAUAGCUCUGAACCAAGAGAAAACACCCAAGGCCAAGACCAGGGUUGGAGGACAAAGGUGAUAAAGAGCUAAUUUAGUGUCCUCUGUUUUUGUUUUUGUUUUUUGUUUAGUUUGGUUUAGUUUUUACGAAACGAAUAAUAGCCUCCAAUACCACGCAUUCCUCCUACCUCUGCAUUCCAAGUGACAGAUGUCAGCCACCUGGUCCCUUUUUAAAUUUAUAUAUAUACUUUAGCGACUUGUGUCUGUGUCUCUCUCUCUCUCUCUCUGUGUGUGUGUGUGUGUGUGUGUGUGUGUGUGUGUGUGUGUGUGGAUCAUGUUUAGAGAUCAAAGGACAAUUUGAGGGGAUUGGUUUUCUACCAUCUCACCUGCCAUGGAAGUGGGUUUUGUUUUGUUUUUGUUUUUGUUUUGUUUUGUUUUUUUGUUUUUGUUUUUGAGACAGGGUUUCUCUGUAUAGUCCUGGCUGUCCUGGAACUCACUUUGUAGACCAGGCUGGCCUCGAACUCAGAAAUCCGCCUGCCUCUGCCUCCCAAGUGCUGGGGUUAAAAAGGUGUGCGCCACCACCACCUGGCUUUUUUUUUUUUUUAGAUCUGUAAGGUCAAAUUUUCUUCACAUACACCAACCAAAGCAACACAUGACUGACUAUAGAUAGAGGCAGAACUAAAACACACCUACCCUUCUAUUAAAUUGGAACUUAAGAAAUUUGGAAAUUCUCACAUUUUGGAUAACAUUUGUUUACCGAGUUAAUUUUCAUUUUAAAUGCUGUUUAUGCCUGGUGUAAUGGCACCCACCUUUAAGCACUCCAGAACCAGAGGCAGGUGGAUCUCUGAAUUCAAGGCUAGCCUAGUCUACUCCAGAGCUAUGUGGUGAGACCCCAUCUCAAAAAGAGAAAAAGAAAGGAAAAAUGUUUAAGAUGUUAUAUUGUUUACAUGCCUGUAAGCCGGCAUGGGUGACUUACAGCUGUAACGUCAGCUAGCAUUUGAGAAUAUGAGGGUUCUUCCAAGUUGGAGGCAGCAGAACUAUAUAGUUCCAGAUCAGUCUAGCUGCCGGUGAGGUCCUGUCCCAAAACAACAAAAAGCAGAACAUGUUGGGUUACAUGAAGCCCUGCAUAGAAACUUUUAAGCUAGUUAAAAGUUUUCUCCAUCUUAAAUUGUUAUUAGUAAAUAUUGAUAGGAACCAUUUGUACAAAAGAUUCUUGGGGAGGGGCAAUAAUUUUAAGGAGUUUAAAGUGAUCCUGAGAAAAUAAAGUUUGAGAAACGC
rnacentral:lncRNA from 1 species